AAUGAACGCUGGCGGCAGGCCUAAUACAUGCAAGUCGAGCGAGCGGCGCAGGGGUGAGAAAUGUAUGGGGACCUCCUUGAUGACGGGGGUUAACUACGGGAAACGGUAGCUAAUACCGAAUACCAUCCGCUGAACCCAUAUGGGAUUAGCUUGUAGGUGAGGUAACGGCUUACCUAGGCGACGAUCCCUAGCUGGUCUGAGAGGAUGAUCAGCCACACUGGGACUGAGACACGGCCCAGACUCCUACGGGAGGCAGCAGUGGGGAAUAUUGCACAAUGGGCGCAAGCCUGAUGCAGCCAUGCCGCGUGUAUGAAGAAGGCCUUCGGGUUGUAAAGUACUUUCAGUCGGGAGGCGUUACCGACAGAAGAAGCACCGGCUAACUCCGUGCCAGCAGCCGCGGUAAUAC
rnacentral:rRNA from 1 species